UUAAGUGAAGGCGAUUAAGUGAAGAAAAAACGGUGUGUGGAAGAGAGAGAAACGAAGGGCGAGAGACCGAAUGCCUUUUUCUUGGCACCUCCUUCGGAGUCGAGGGGAAAGUCAGCGGCGACUCCACGCCCAGGACCCAGGUGCCUUUGUCCCCAGAGAAGGGACCAAGUAGUAACAGGGACGCGGUGAGGUAUGAACGAUAUCUGUUAGCCUUCUCCCUCCCAUUCUCUUCCCGCCGCCUCUCAGGAAAUGCCGCCGCGGCGACUACAGGCCGGUACGAAAUGGCGGCGGCGGCAGCGCCUCCCACCCCGCAGUGCCCUCCCCACAGGGGGACUCCGAACUCCGCACCGCCUCCACAAAAUGGACGACGCGGCAGGGAUUAACCAAGGAAGGGAAGGCGCGCCAUGGAGAGAAUGGAGGCCGCGCCCUGCCUGCCUGCUUUCCCUUUCGGGAAGGCCGCUUUCACCCUCACCUGGGUCCGCUUAGGCGCUAGGCCGGGCCGGCUGGCGCCUGCUGAGUCAACUGCGCUCGCUCCGCUCUGGGGCUGGAUCAAGAAGGUGGGGAGAAGGAGGAAGAAGAGGGAGGGGGAAAGAGAAAAAAAGCUCCCGUCUCAAGCGAGAGAACCAGCGCUGCUAAAGGGCGUUGGCACAAAGCAAAACUCUCUGCUGCUAGGCCCGCGCUCGCGCGCCUCAGCCUAUCACUCAGCACUAUCCGAGCCCCGGCUCCUCCUCCGACCUUCAUGCAACCAAUCAAGCUUCUGCGCGCCGCCGUGAAGAUUGCCAAUGGGAGCUGGAGGUUAAGAAAGAAAAGUUCACCCACAGCAACCUACAGAAUUGUGGAUGAGAUUUAGAGCUACCAUGCAGCAGCAGCAGCAGCAGCAGAGAACCAAUGAUUCUGCCAUCACCAUGGGAAGAGGCACUGCUUAAAGCCUGGAGAAAGGAAAUAAGCUGAAGUGUGCAAAAAUAGCACUCGUCACACUUCCUGAUUUGUUGACCCAAAAGCAAAUAUAAUUUGUGCAGCAGAGGAAGAAACAGGAAGCGUGCUCGCCAAGAAGCUAAAGAGUCUCAAGGUGAAUGAGCCUUUCAGCUAAUUAUUGACAGGAGACAAGGCAAUCAACAAGAAAACAGGGAACAUAGGAAGCUGCUUUAUAUCAAGUCAGACCAUUUGUCCAUCUAGCUCAGUAUUGUCCACACUGACUGGCAGUUUCUCUCCAUGUUUUCAUGCAGGGAACAUUCCCAGCCCUACCUAGAGUUGCUGGGUAUUGAACCGGAGAUUUUCUGCAUGCAAAGCAGAUGCUCGGCCACUGAGUGACAGCCCUUCCCAGGUUGGCUUUCAGCACCAAACAAUGAGGCCCUCUCAUGGGAUAGCUUGACAUAGCCUGCCCAUAUCUUAAGAUCUCCUUCUGAAGCCCUUCCCUGAUUGGCUUCAUUAUCAGAAGAAGGUAGCAGAAGGGAGAGAGGUUUUUCAGUGGUGUUGCCCUAGCUUUGAAAUGCCUUCCCUAAAGAGACUGACAUGGCACCUGGAGUGUUGGUGUUGCGCCACUUUAAAAGUGCACCUGUUUACACCUGGUUACUCUGACAUUCUCAGACCAUUGAUUCCUACUACCAACUUUUAAUGAACCUCUGGACAUCUUUUUGAAUGUUUAAAUUUAUUGUUAUACUAUUUUAUUGUAUUGAUUUUCUGUUAUUGUAGCUGGGUAAACUGCCUUAGAAUCAUAAUAGUAGAGUUGGAAGGGGCCUGUAAGGCCAUCAAGUCCAACCCCCUGCUCAAUGCAGGAAUCCAAAUCAAAGCAUUCCCGACAGAUGACUGUCCAGCUGCCUCUUGAAUGCCUCCAGUGUUGGAGAGCUCACUACCUCUCUAGGUAAUUGGUUCCGCUGUUGUAUGGCUCUAAUAGUUACGACGUUUUUCCUGAUGUUCAGUUGAAAUCUGGCUUCCUGCAAUUUGAGCCCAUUAUUCCAUGUCUUGCACUCUGCGACAAUUGAGAAGAGAUCCUGGCUCUCCUUUGUGUGGCAACCUUUCAUGUACUUGAAGAGUGCUAUCAUUUCUCCCCUCAGUCUUCCCUUCUCCAGGCUAAACAUGCCCAGUUCUUUCAGUCUCUCCUCAUAGGGCUUUGUUUCCAGUCCCCUGAUCAUCCUUGUUGCCCUCCUCUGAACUCAUUCCAGUUUGUCUACAUCCUUCUUGAAGUGCGGAGACCAGAACUGGACACAGUACUCAAGAUGAGGCCUAACCAGUGCUGAGUAGAGGGGAACUAAUACUUCAUGCGAUUUGGAAACUAUACUUCUUUUAAUGCAGCCUAAAAUAACAUUUGCCUUUUUUGCAGCCACAUCGUACUGUUGGCUCAUAUUCAGCUUGUGAUCAGCGACAAUUCCAAGAUCAUUCUCACAUGUCGUAUGGCUGAGCCAAGUAUCCCCCAUUUAUAACUGCAUUUGGUUUCUUUUUCCUAGGUGCAGAACGUUGCAGUUAACCCUUUACAUGUUAUUCUGUUGUUUUCAGCCCAGUGCUCCAGCCUAUCAAAUUUUGUUUCUGUCUUCCACGGUAUUAGCUGCGCCCCCCCAAUUUUGUAUCAUCUGUAAAUUUGAUAAGCAUGCUCUGUACCUCCUCAUCGAAGUCGUUAAUAAAAAUGUUGAAGAGCGCUGGGCCCAGGACCAAGCCCUGUGGUACCCCACUUGUUACUUCCGCCCAGUUUGAGAAGGAACCAUUGAUAAGCACUCUUUGAGUACAAUCCACCUGAUCGUUGUUCCAUCCAGCCCACAUUUAGCUAGCUUGCUAAUCAGAAUAUCAUGGGGCACUUUGCCAAAAGCUUUGCUGAAGUUGAGAUAUAUUAUGUCCACAGCAUUCCCACAGUCUACAAGGGAGGUUACCCAAUCAAAAAACGAGAUAAGAGUAGUUUGGCAGGAUUUGUUCUUCAUAAAUCCUUGUUGCCUCCUAGUAAUCACUGCAUUGUUUUCAAGGUGAUUACAGAUUGACUGCUGUAUAAUCUGCUCCAGAGUUUUUCCAGGGAUUGAUGUUAGAUUAACUGGUCUGUAGUUCCCUGGUUCCUCCUUUUUUGCCCUUUUUGAAGAUAGGAACAACAUUAGCUCUCCUCCAGUCAUCCGGCCUUGUAAUCAUUUUGAUGAAAGGAGGUAUCUAAGUAGUUUUUAAAUAAUUAAAAUAAAUGUUGUAAUCUUUUGGGCACCCAGCUAAACAUGUUUAUUUAGCCAGACAUUUUAAACUGUCUAAGCUUCACCCUGCGUAAUAGCUUUAAUGGUCAUGUUGUAUAAUUGUUUUGAUCCUUAUUGUAAAAAUAAUUUAUUAUCUAAGUUUUGUUGUCCACUGACUGCCCUGGACUACAAAUUGGAUGAAGGGUGGUAUAUAAAUGUUUGAAAUAAAAAUAUUUCUUAAAACAUUCAUAUUCUUUAAAAAAAUAUUAAUAUAAACAAUUAAAAGCUGGAAUGUCUUUACUCAAAGUGUACCUAAACUUGCUCAGAUGGACAAUGCUUCUUGUAUACAGCUUCCAGGGAUAGGAGGUUCCAUGGGAAGUGACUGGCGGUUCCACUGGCUUUUAAGUUGGAUUCCUGAAUGGAGCAGGGGGUUAGAUGCGAUGGCCUUAUAGGCCCCUUCCAACUCUACUGUUCUAUGAUUCUAUGAACAGUGACGAAUUACAGUGUUCCUGUGAGAGAUCGGUUUAGCUACCAAGAUUCAUGUUCAGGAUGCAUGCAGGAGUGGGCACACACCUUUCCAAAUAGUGCUUCUUUUCAAAGUAGGGACAGAUCCCCAAAGCAAUAUAACACGUGUUUGGAGGUCCCAAAGUUCCUUCUUCCAGCUUGCUGCAACACUCAGAUGUGUGUCUUCUUCACUGACUUCACUGCAGCUUAAACUAUUUUUCUAGAGUCUAGACCUCCCUCUAAUUUAUUUAUUUAUUUAUUGCAUUUGUAUACCGCCCCAUCACCAAAGCUCUCUGGGUGGUUUACAACUAUUUAUAGCAUGUGGGGUGUGUCAUAAUUGGUGGCAAUCAUCUUCUAUGCACAGGGGGAGAUAGAUGUGAUCACUGCAUCAAUAUCCAAUCACGUGGCUAUGGUUUACCUCCACUGUCAGAGUAUGCCUCUGAAUACCAGUUGCUGGGAAUCGCAGGUGGGGUGAGUGCUGUUCUGCUCAGGUUCUGCUUGCUGGCUUCCCAUGGACAUCUGGGUGACCACUGUGAAAACAGGAUGCUGGACUAGAUGGGGUUUUGGCCUGAUCCAGCAGGGUUCUUCUUAUGCUCUGAACCUUCCCAUAUAAGGCGUUGCAAUGGAACUCUGUCCUGGUGACUGUUUGUUCUGCUCAAUGUACUCUGGCUCUGAUCCUGCAAGGAAGAAUGAGUCAUGAGUGUUUGGUCAGCAAGAUCAAUGAAUAGAGCCAAGUGCCUGCUGUCACCCACAAAGCUGGCUGUUGGCAUCAUCAGUCCAUAGUGAGAACUUACCUGCACUUGGAGGUUGUGGCCCUCACGUGCCCACCUUUCUGCAAUCUGAAUACUUACCCUGUGUCACAUGUGUGGAAGACACUAUUGCAACCUGUGGAGUAGUGAAGGGUUGUUAAGCCAUUAUAUGAUUUCCAUAUAUCAUGGGGUGGAAAUAACGUUUUGUGUGUUUGAGUGCUUUUCACACCCUCAUGUGCAGGAAUAGAGAGUGUUUGGGACUCCUAUGUGGGAUGUCUUAUCUUUGCAGCACCCCCAGCAGCUUUGGCAUUCAGGUUCUAGAGUCCUAAAGCAGAGCAACCCGAAGGGUUCUGAGAAGACAUGCAUUGACAAUGCAGCUUUCCCAGGAGAUUAAAGAUAUAGGGGUCCCUGUGAGAGAGGUGACCCUGGAAGGGGUCCCUGUGAGAGAGGAGACCCCGGAGAUUGGAACAAACGUGGAACAGGAAAAAGAUUUGGAGUCUAUGGACUUUAGAAACAAAAUCUAUUGUUUGGAGACACAGGAGAUUAAAGACAUAGGGGUCCUUGUGAGAGAGGAGACCCUGGAGACUGGAACAGGGGUCCCUGUGAGAGAGGAGACCCUGGAGACUGGAACAGGGGUCCCUGUGAGAGAGGAGAUCCCGGAGAUUGGAACAAACGUGGAACAGGAACAAGAUUUGGAGUCUAUGGACUUUAGAAAUAAAAUCUAUUGUUUGGAACUCAAUGUUAUCUCUGAAGAAAUUAAUGAAGAUUCUAGAGAUAAAGUUAUCAAUGGCAUGGAUAAUCUUCUGGACUGGAAUGAUGUGAUGGAACCCAAUAUAGAGAAAAUCUAUGGAAUUAACUGCAGCCAUGUGACAAUGGAAAAACUUUCAAGAGAUGACCCAGUGUAUUUUGAAAAAAAGAACAGAGAUAUGAUUUUACAGCAGUAUUUCAGCAACCUAUUCAGAAUGGAUGGCAAGAAAAUAUUUGGGAUAGAGGUAAUUCCCAUCAGACUCUUACUAUAUGACUAUGGCUUUGACAGCAAGAUUAUUAUGGAAUACUGAUAAUGGAAGAUUGGAUACUGAAAUUACUGGACUUAACAAGACUACUGAAGAUGGAAGAUGGAAAAUGGAACUAAUAGGGAUAAUAGAACAAUGGCUACUGAAAUUACUGAACCUAACAGAUUCUGAUGUGAUGGAUUAAUUGAAAUGUUUAUUUUGACUAUGGUUAUGACAAUAAGAUUAUCAUAAUUAGUAAUGAGAUGGAUUAAUCGAUAUGCUUAUCUGGAAAAAAAAAUUGAUAGAUAUAUUUCUUAAAGAAUUGAAACCUCUCUUUGACUUUUUGUGGAAAGAAUAAAGUAAUGUUUAUGAGAUUUGAUGAUUAAGUAAGA